UUGAUAAGGAUUAAAAGUUUACUUGGACUGUAAAUAUGUCUUGAUUUUUAAACCAUAUAAAAACAGCCCAUGACGCCUAAGGACAUGUGCAGAGAUGAUGUCUUUCACUGGACCGAACAGUGUCGUUUGAAAAGAGGAAAAGCUUUCAGGCACACAAGCCACCUUCAGGCCUGGCCUAAAGGUGACAGCUUGCUUUCAGACUGGAUUGCAAAUGGGGAAAAUCCCUCAGAGUUGUGAGUCGGUAUCAGAUCAUCUUUGACAGGAAAUGGAGCUGUCGAGUUCAUCGAGGGAGUGCUAAUUUGUAGGAAAGCAGAGGGUAUACGACACUUGUCUUUGUAGGAAAAGAGAAGUAAUGUUUCCUGGCAUGUGUAAAUGACUAGAGGAGGUGUAGGCUGAGAGAGGUGGGGUGUGGAAGGGGGAGUGUGGAGACUGUGGGAAGUUGUAGUGUGACCAAGAAGCAGUGUUUUGAUGUCUUGAAAUGUUAGGAAUUUUUAUUCCUAGGUUUGUGGCUGGAGGGCUCCCUCCAGGAUGGGGAGUGACAGACUGUCAGAGACUGAGUGGUUACCUUGUGAGAGCUGCAGCAGCAAGGUGUGUUUGUGUGUGUCAGUGCUCUGUGCCACUUUAGUCUGGUCUCAGUAGUUGCUUGAGCUCAGCUAUGGGGGUGUGGGAGGCCCAGCUAUUGGAUAUGACUUCCCAGGAAAGCCCAUGUAUGAGACCUGGGAGUGCUGGUAUCUGGGGUAGAAGGUCCUUACUGGAAGUUGGAAGGGAAGGUUUUGAUAAGUUGUACUUGGUUUUUUCUAUUCUCAUUUUUUGCACAAACCUUCUGAGAUGAACUUAGCAGAGUUGGGAGACAGCUUAAAGACUGGCAGGGAUGGCUCUGCAGAUUUUCCGUCCUUUGAUAGGAUGUUCUACCAUAGGUGAUCACUUGUUUGAGCAUUUUUUUAAAUGCAGUUUUUAGGAUGGUGUUUGAGAGCAAUGUAUACAAUAAGUAGAGGGUCUCUCUCUUUUUAUAAAAGCUAUUUUUGUGCUGUUCUUAUCCAUGUGGCUCUUUCAAAAACAUGAUGUAUUUUUCUUCUGUGCUGAGUGACUGUCAUGGGUGGUGUCCUCAAAGUUCAUGAAUUGGUAUUUGAAGGGCUGGUGUGAAGUUUGUGUAAGAAUUGAUGGAAGAAUUGAGAUUUCCUUUUCAGAGGAUGUCAGCUGUGUAUUUGCUUUCAGAUUACUGUGCUGCAUAGACUGGGCUGCACAGGCUCUCUUAAAAGUCACCAGUGAGGAUGUUGAGAAUGGUGGGGUUGUAUUUGACCCUUCCAUCUGGGGGAAAUGUUGAUGGUAGAAAGAUAAAUUGAAGUUUUGAGAGUGACAGGGUAAUGCUGUAGUCAGAGCAUUAUAGACCUGUUGUGUGAGGAAUUUAGUUUUGUCUGCAUCCUUAUCUUUGGUGUGCAAUUGUGAAGGUGUCCUGCUUCCUCACUGGAUGAUCCAAACCUCUCCAGGGAGGGGUUUCCUUCUGUUUCACUAUUCCUUGUCACUGGAACACUCACUAGCUUCAGGUUCUCAGGUCUGAUGUGUUCUAUUUGAAGUACUUUUAGCAGGGCUUGAACAGUUUCUUGGUCAGAGGUUUCCUGCUCAGUUCACUGCCAAUUUUCAUUGAAAGUAAGGUAUUAGUGGGGACAAUAUAAUCUGUUUAACAGGAAGUGUUUCUUCAAAGAUGGUGUUACUUGUCCUUAAGAUAUGUAUUUUGUGGCAACAGGGUUGAUCAGUCUGGGAUUGAAGAAGUCGCAGUGAAAUAAUAAAAAAGCCUUACCAGUAAAUCAUUAGCAAUGGUCUCAUUCACGUGCAAAAGAGAAACUGGUUUGACCAUUCAGUAUCUGUUCAAUGAUUAUAGGAGUCAUUGAAGUAACAAUGGUGUCUUUACAUCAACCCACAAAAUAUCACAGUGUAAAAUGUUCCUCUCCUGACAAGAAUGUAUAUUAGUAAAAGGGAAAUUUUGAGCAAUCUGCCUUGGAGUUCUUUUAGCCUUGCACUUGUGAAGGUAAAUCUCCUGUCAGCAGAGCAGAAUGCUGAAACUGGUGCCAUAGAUCCUUAGAAUAUUUUGCUGAUGUCUCACCCGAAUAAUUUUAUUACAGUUAUUCCAGUCAGAUCUGAAGCUUUGCUUUUGUGAGUCUGCAUUUGUUAUGCUGUAUUGUGGCACCAGCAGAGGUCCAGUCCAUCUGUGUUUGGAAGCAGCUGUCACCCCACAGAAGAGCUGCAUUGCAGCCUUCACUAGCAGUAUAAAUUAUAUGGAUAAAAGUGAAAUGUUUCACAUGAAAUUUCAUCCACUCAGGAAAAAUAAGAAUUAUUUGAGCAGAUCUUUCUGUGCAAACAGCCGUCUCAAAUUUGUACAUGGAGAAUGUGGUGUAUCCCCUUGAUGAAAGCUUUCUGUCUUGUAAAGAUGCCUUUUGGUAAUCCACUGUGGUUACUGACAACUUCAUCAUCCCAGCUAGGGUAUAGUUGUUUGGGAUUUAUAUACUCAUUAUCAUUUUGCAUUGUCAUCAUUAUAUUGAUUUUGCCCUUAUGGACAGCAUGGCUGCUACCAUUUCCCUUAAAAUCACUGGUGUAAUCAUAACAGCUGUGAUGCUGUUGCUUGUCCUCUUGAGCCCUUGGUAAUAGGGGCACAUGCACCAACCCUUCUGUUUUCUUUUACUGUGAAGAAUGACCCUUGCAUAGGCUUUCAAAGUGAAUGCAAAGUUUCCUCCCCCUGGAUAUCAGUUAAAGUUCCACUCAGGCAUUCAGUUUCUUUAGCCAAAUAAGACUGUACUUUCAAUUUAUGGUUGCUGAUGAAUCUUCAUAAUUGUACUGCCUUCUCUGGCAUUCUCAUAAGCAAGCUAUGAAAGAUUAAUUUAGAUAAUCUUAUGAUAAGGAUGGGCAAAGCCAAGUAGGAAGUUGAAAUCCUGAAGCAGCUCUUAUUAACUGGGGUCAUGGGAUACAGAAUUCAUUUGUUUCCCAGUGAUAAUGAUGAGAGCAGCUGGAAGCACGAAGCAGAAUGUUGGAGGAGCCAAGGCAAAUCAGAGAAGUGAUGUGAUGAACAAGAUGCAACUGAAAAAGAGAGGGAGUAUUUAGAAAUAAGUCAUCUACACAACCACACAGGAGCUGGCAUGGUCACAGUGGUGGGGACUGACCUCGUGUUUUUCCUGGAAGGUGCUCUUCAAUAGGAAUGAAAGCAGCUGUUGGCCUUUAGCUGGUCCCAGACUUGUUAGGCUUUGGUGCCUGGCACAUGGAUGCAGGUGAAGCUGUGUUUGGAGUCCCUGUCUUUCAGCAGGACCUGGAGUGUAGCUGCUCCCUGGCCACAGGGCCCCUCUUGGCUGCUCAAAUGCAGCGUUUGGUCACUGGCCUGUGUCAGCGCAGGCUCAGUGUCACAACCGCUGGUUUUAUCAGAAGGAACACCAGACUCUCCUCUCCUUUCUUGAAGUUUUGGGUGUUUUGUACUUGAAAUGUGCUGUAGAAACAGCUGAGCAGGCUUUGAACUGCCCACCUCAGGCAGCAAAAGCCUGAAAGGGAAUGAACAGACUUGGCAGUACUGGGCACCUGACUUGGCUCAAGCACGGGGGCGAUGCAUGAAAUACAUUAUUAAGUAGCCAAAUCAAGUAUUUACUAGCUUUUAUAUGGAAAUAAUAAUUAUAGAUGUAUAUAACUCUAAAAACAAGUUGAAAAGGAAUCCUGAGUGACUGAAAGUCAGUUCUGUCAGUUUAAAUAUCCACAUGAUAUACAGCUCCUGACAUGCCCCUGACAACUCAAACAUUUGUUAAAUCCAGAUUAAUUAUAGAAAGUAAAUUUUUAUCUCCAGUUUAACAUUGCAACUAGUAUUAAUAAUAAUCCCAGGCAAAUCUCCCUCCUGGUGUUUUAAAAGCAAAAAUUCUUUGCUGUUAUGCAUGUUGCUAACACCAUACAUAAAUCUGUGGUGUCUGUCAACCCCCUGCAGGUAGAUCAGAGAAUCUUUUUAAUACUAAAGUGAGGUAAGACCUGGGGUAUUCAUAUUCAUAUUCUGCCAGGGAUCACCAGAUUUUAUUUCUUUCACCAUGCCCAGAGUUGGCCUCUAAGACCCUCGCUAUCAUCUGCUGUCAUAUAGCAUUGUAGGGGGGAGCUUGCCCAGGGCAGCCACUCCAGCUCCUUCAGGAGACAUCCAGAGCUGAUGAGUUCCUUCUGUACCAGCUCCAGUUUGGCUCAUCUUCACAUUGUGUGGUCAUUGCACAGAUCACAGGGCUCAACUUUCAGUGCCUCUCUUCCAUACCUGAACCAAGUUUUCUCUGUAAAUGUAGGAUGAGCAUUGUGGCAGCUUUUUAGAUGUUGGUAAGAAAUGCAGAGCUUUGCUAACAGCAAGUAAACAAAUUUUAUAUUUGUCCUGACUAAGUGUGUCCCCCACAGCUUCCAGUGGGUUCCUGCAGAGGCUUCUUUGGAAAGCUUCCUGUUCAAGGCUUCUGAGAGAAAGCCAACCAAAUAGUGCCAGAGUUUGCAAGAUGCUGGCAGAAGCAGUAUGGGAGAUGAGAUUUCACAGGUCACCUUCAGUUAAUUCAGUGCUAAUUCAGUGCAGGAGCUUCUGUAGAAGCUCUGGUGGAAAAGGAACCACCUUUGGGAAGGUACUGUCAGCCACAGAGGAGAGGAACUGGAUGGCUUUUUCCCUGUGAUUCUGCCACAAGGAAUAGCAUUAUUUCAGUGGAAGAGCAGAGCAAGCACUCCUGGAGUCACCAUCUGGACAUGGCAUAUGCUCAGGAACUCGACCAGCUUUUUCAGGGCAGCCAAAUGUUGUCUAGGCUGAUGAAUGUGAAUAUUCAGCAAGGAUCUCAAGGAGAAAAUUUUGAUGGGGGUAGCUAAUUUUGGAGCUUACUGACAGCCAGUGAUCAUGACAAGCCUGUUUGGGGGAAUGCAGAGCUUUAAGCCCAUGUUUAAUCUGCUGAUCAGUGUGUUCAAAGUACUUCAGUGUCUUCACUGGAGGUUUACUGUCUUGGCAAUAUUAACAUCACAAACCUUCUUGAUUCUUUGGACAUUUGUAUCCCUGUAAGCAAGAUGAAACCAGGGAAACUGGACUAGGUCAGCCCAGUGAGGAGGAGGAGGAUGGGGAGGAAGCAUCUAAUAGUCUCCCACCUGAGGAGAUUAUUAGAGAGGAGAGAGAAACUCUCUUCUUGGAGGUGGAAGAGCAGAAAAAGGAACAAAAGGCGAGGGGCACAAGCUGCAACAAGAAAAAAUCCACCUGGGCUUUAAGGCUUUUGACACUGUUGUUGAAAAUGAGCAUCAGCAUUUUCCAGAGUGAAAACCAGAGCUGCUUUGAAGUUACUCACAUGUCCCUUAACACAGAAGACCUGGAAGACUUUCCUAUGUGCAUUUGAAGUCAAGUGGGGCAUAAAUUGUAUUAAUAUUUCAAUUUAUUCUCUUAGGCCUUUUGAUGAUACAUCACCAGGUCAUGCUGUUGCUUGGUACUUUGUUCAUUGAAGACCAGUUCAGUGUUUAAUCUCCAGGGCAUACCUACUUAACACUGGUUUCAUACUGUAGCUGCUUGGAGAGAGACUCAUUCCCAUAAGCCAGAGCUCUCUCACAUCCUAUGCUAAUCUAAGCAAGGAUAUAGACACGUGAUUUGAAGACAGCCAGCCACAGUAAAAUGAAAUCAAAUCAGGCAGCUUAAAUCAGCAACAGUUUGAGAUUACACCCCUGUCCUGUCAACCAGAAGGAGAAAAGAGGAAGCCCAUCAGCACACGGGGAAGAUUUCCAUCUUCAGAUUCCCCUCGCCACCUCUGGACACCCUCUCUAGAAUGAAAUACUCUGGGAUUCACAGGGAAAAGCCAGUAAGGAUCAAAAUGAUGUGUCAUUCCCUUAAAAAGGAAGGAAAAAAAAACCCAACAAAACUGUGAAAAAAAAAUAGGUUGCAAGAAUCAAGAUAGAACAGCUGUUUACCACAGAAUUCCACAGAGCAGUAUCACCCCUUCUUCAGGGUCUUCAGAAGACUGAAAAGCUUUCCUUGGGCAGAGCGUGUUGUGGAGGUGAAUGGAGGAGCACAGACAAAUCACAUGUUCUUCUGUUGAGCAGGUCAGACCUACCAGGUCUGAAGAUGAAAGAACCAAGGCAUAGCUUAGAGUAGCCCUAAAGCUUCUUUAAGUUGUGCUUGGGAAAUAGUUGUCUCUACAUGACUGUUGGGGUGGAAAGGAUCAUUUUAGUUUAUUUAAAGCACGUUUAGUUCACACCAUCUCUUCUGUAAUUACCUGAGGCAUGCUAUUGUCACACACAAUCAAUCAUCUGAUUUCUUUAGUAUCAUGCUUACUUUAAUAAAAUAUCAAAAUAUAA